UACGGAAGGCAGCAGUGGGGAAUAUUGCACAAUGGGCGCAAGCCUGAUGCAGCCAUGCCGCGUGUAUGAAGAAGGCCUUCGGGUUGUAAAGUACUUUCAGUCGUGAGGAAGGUGUUAAGGUUAAUAACCUUAGCAAUUGACGUUAGCGACAGAAGAAGCACCGGCUAACUCCGUGCCAGCAGCCGCGGUAAUACGGAGGGUGCGAGCGUUAAUCGGAAUUACUGGGCGUAAAGGGCACGCAGGCGGUUAAUUAAGUUGGAUGUGAAAUCCCCGGGCUUAACCUGGGAAUGGCAUUCAAGACUGGUUAGCUAGAGUCUUGUAGAGGGGGUUAGAAUUCCAUGUGUAGCGGUGAAAUGCGUAGAGAUGUGGAGGAAUACCGGUGGCGAAGGCGGCCCCUGGGACAAAGACUGACGCUCAUGUGCGAAAGCGUGGGGAGCAAACGAGGGAUUAGAUACC
rnacentral:rRNA from 1 species